UUCCAGAUCGCGCAUAUAAGCA
rnacentral:siRNA from 1 species